AAUUGGUGAUUAGGAUUUGACAAAUCGAAUUUAUUUAACUAUAGUCAAAAGGAAAAUGUUAUCGGAUUUGCGCUUAUAGUUCUCACUAAUGCAAUAGUAUGAAAGUUUUUGGAUGUGAUAACAUGUUUACUCGUAAAGAUUAUUGAGUGACAGUAUUAAUGGCCGAUUUACCGAAUGGCUGGGUUCAGCUGGUACCUUUCUGAAGGCUUCCAAGUAAUAAUUGAGAAGUCGAAGGACGCAAAAUGCUCUCUAAAAGAUAUUCAGUUGCGUUUCUUGUGCCCUGAUGACCUAGAGGAGGUGAGAUCUCUAUGCAGAGAUUGGUUUCCUAUAGAAUACCCUCAGUCAUGGUAUGAGGACAUUACUUCUUCAGAAAGGUUUUUUGCCCUGGCAGCGGUGCACAAAAGUGAGAUUAUAGGCCUUAUUGUGGCUGAAAUAAAGCCUUACUUGAAACUGAAUGCAGAAGAUCGGGGAAUACUGUCAAGAUGGUUCGCCUCAAAGGAUACACUUGUUGCUUACAUACUGUCUUUAGGGGUAGCUCGUUCAUUCCGUCGGUCGGGCGUGGCGACGAUGCUACUGGACGUGCUCAUCAACCACCUGGCGGGCCCCGUGCCGCAGCCGCCGCAUGAGCACCGCGUCAAGGCCAUAUUCCUGCACGUGCUCACCACCAACACAGAAGCUAUACUUUUUUAUGAACACAGAAGAUUCCGGCUGCACUCUUUUCUGCCGUACUACUACUCGAUCAAGGGGCGGUGUAAAGACGGCUUCACGUACGUGUACUACGUGAACGGCGGGCACGCGCCGUGGGGGCUGUACGACUACGUGAAGUACGUGGCGCGCGCGGCGUGGCGCGGCGGCGGCCUGUACCCCUGGCUCUGGGGCAAGCUGCGCACCGCGCUCACCAUCGCCUGGCACAGGUAGUGCCGCGACCCCAGUGUGUGCUACACGAACAGUGCCGACUAACCUGCUAAUAUUACGCAACAUUUUCGCUAGUUUUUAAACUAGUUUUACUUUUGUCAUUCUUCUGCAAAGCAUGUUUUUGUGAUUGAAUAAGUCCGUCGAACAAAUAUUGUGACUCACCCGAUGUUUUUCCUUAGAUGUAACAGGCGUUUCUCCAGCUCGACGACGCGGGUGGGCGCGGUUCGCUCUGAUGGGGAAGCGAUCUAACUCUACGCAUUCCUGACAUUCUCUCACCAUGAGAAUCGGAACACUUUAUGGAUUUCGUUUACAACUUUGCUACGUUUUCAGAAAAUUCCACAAAACGUAGAUGUGCAGUGUGUAAGCAGUGAUUGAACGAGAGAAUUUAUUAAUAUCACUAAGUUAUGAAUAAUUUAUAGAGAGCACUGUUUAUUGUUUUUAUACAUUGACGUGAAGCCAAAUUUGAUAGUAGUAUAUUAGCACAACAAGAACAACACCAACCCUGUGCUGUGGACAUAUUUUUAUAUUAUUACGUAAUUAGACUAGAAGGGGAAACACCAACACGAACAAACUCAAACAAACAUUGCUCCCGCGAGGGACCAUCAAUUUGGCUUCAUAUAUCAAACUGACAAAGUUAUUUGUGAUAUUUUUAUUACUCAAAGCUUUAAAUUUAAUAAUUCAUUGUAUUUUCAUAUAAAACGAAAGAAGGAUGAUCAUUUUGUACACGAAAAUACAAUUUGGUUUAAAAUAGUUGCGUUUGUUUGAGUAAGAGGGACGGCAUCGAUUGCUACAGAAAUAUAACAAAGUGUCACGUGCCAUGAUAUACUGCCAAGAUUACUAAAGUAAGGUGCCUGUGUGUUCAAUGUAAGACAUAAUGUACGGAUAAACAAUAAUGUUGUAACAAUAAAACUAUUAUUUAUGAGCAAUACCUGUAUCGGCUGCAUGAGCAAUGUACGCGUGAGCGGAGAGAUGGCCAAUGAGGGCGAGACAGCUGUCAGCGUUAGUCUGAUACCUACCAAUCACUGCACAGACAAGACGGACCAUCUAUUUCGGGUCAAAACAGACUAUCUACCUAUCAUAAGACUGUGGAACUACGAAACACCAAAUAACCCGAAUGCAUCUAAUAUCUUACGUAUACGUAUUGUAUAUGUAACAAGCCUAUUAUGACCUUAAAGCUCCUUUAAAAUUAAUAGUAAAGUUACAUCAGAUUUUGAAAAAGCUCUUUGACUAUAAUUCAGCAAUUUACGCAACUGAUGAGAUUAAAAGACCUGUGUUUGAUUAAUGUACAUAAUAAUUAUUAUUUUUGCUGAUUGCAGGAAAUACCAAUUUUAAUAUGGUUCUAAAUGAGACAUAAUGCUGAUAUCUGUUUCAAGCUCUGUGAGUACGUCCAUUAGUAAACGCUUUUAGUGUAUAAUAUAAUACUCUAAUACUACACAAUACCGUAGAAUCUUCUCUAGGUAAAUGUAAAUUAUUCGAUUAGUAAUUUAUGUAAAUAGUUUUUUAACGUGUAUUUAAAUAGGCAUGUACAGAUUACGAAUAAGACGAAUUUACAAUUAAUAUUAUCAAAAGAAGGCUGUUGUAUUGUUUAUUUCACGUGCCUAAACGUCUUCGAAGUUUUGUGAAGUAUUAAAGUAAGAUAUGUACAUUGUGUUCAGUUUGUAAAGUUUUUUAGUAGGUAAUACACCUAUAAAACUGAACAGUCUCUCCGAUGCAUGCAUUUGUUACGAUAAAUUAAUGUUCAAAGCCUCAGAGAGCUUUUCUCUCUUAGUGCUUUUAAUUAAAUGUACACUAUCUAGCCGAUAAAUGGUUUAAUUCACUUUCUGUGUUUCGUGUAUAUUUUGGGCACUUCAGAACAAUUUAUUUCUGCAUCCAGUCAAUCCAGUGUACGUAGAAUUAUUAAUGUACUCACUUGAACCAAAGUAUUUUAAUGUGUUAGUUUUGUUAUCACUCAUACAAUCGAUGUUUAAUUCUUUUUGAGUUAGUAUUAAUUAAAUUAAUGUUUAUCAUUAAUUUGAACAUUGAGUAUUAUUAUUCGGACCAUUAUUAAAUUAUUUGUAUAAAUUCCAAAAGCAGUCAUGAUAGUUGUAUUACGUUUUGUAAUUUGUGAUAUUGUCAUCACUCGACUUGUAAAGUUUUGCAACAUUGUAAUAUUAAGGUCGACAUUUGUGUGUUAAAUUGUCCUUUUCUAUAUAGCACGUUCCUAAUGUUAAAUGGAAAUUUUACGUUAUAAUUCUAUGUUUAAUACUCUAAAAUAGGAAAAGAUUUUAGCUUCCAAAUAAAUAUCAUUGUUGACAA
rnacentral:misc_RNA from 1 species